rnacentral:misc_RNA from 1 species
GUGAAUCAUCGAAUCUUUGAACGCACAUUGCACUCCCUGGUAUUCCGGGGAGUAUGCCUGUUUGAGGGUCGUUAGAACCAAAAUCGAUGUGUCGCUUUUUUUUUAUAUGGGUGAUCGCGUCGGUAUUGAGCCGUCUUUCAACUGUUAUUUCUUGUCAAUGUGUCUUUAAAUUAAUCCAUCCGGUACGAUUAAAGUGUUUUUAAGAUCCACUUUGAUUAAGAAAGCGCGAUGUAUGUACACUCG